AUGGGGUGCAGCNNNNGCGAAAACUUGACAAUGCGAGAAAUCGUGAUCAGGGGACUCCAGUUGGCUGGAUCAAAAGUCCAGUCUGAACCNACUUUAAAUCGGUCGGGUAAUAGGGGCGGGAAAGACCGGUGCCAGCCGCCGCGGUAAUACCGGCGCCCCAAGUGGUCGUCACUAUUAUUGGGCCUAAAACGUCCGUAGCCGGUUUGGUAAAUCCGUGGGUAAAUCAGACAGCCCAACUGUCUGAAUUCUGCGGGGACUGCCAGACUUGAGACCGGGAGAGGUACGGGGUACCUCUGGGGUAGCGGUAAAAUGCGAUCAUNUNUNAGGGACCACNUGUUGCGAAGGCGCCNUACUAGAACGGAUCUGACGGUCAGGGACGAAGCCUAGGGGCACGAACCGGAUUAGAUACCCGGGUAGUCCUAGGUGUAAACGCUGCGGACUUGGUGUCGGGGACCUUCUGAGGGUUUCCGGUGCCGUANUGAAGANGUUAAGUCNNCUGCCUGGGGAGUACGGNCGCAAGGCUGAAACUUAAAGGAAUUGGNNGGGGAGNAC
rnacentral:rRNA from 1 species